rnacentral:rRNA from 1 species
AACGAACGCUGGCGGCGUGCCUAACACAUGCAAGUCGUGGGGCAGCAUUUGGUAGCAAUACUGAGAUGGCGACCGGCGCACGGGUGAGUAACGCGUAUGCAACCUACCCAGUACAGGGGGGAUAACCCGGAGAAAUUCGGACUAAUAUCCCAUAGAAAUAUCGGAAGGCAUCUUUUGAUAUUUAAAGUUCCGGCGGUACGGGAUGGGCAUGCGUAACAUUAGCUAGUUGGUAAGGUAACGGCUUACCAAGGCUUUGAUGUUUAGGGGUCCUGAGAGGGUGAUCCCCCA